rnacentral:rRNA from 1 species
CCUACGGGGGACUGCAGUAGGGAAUAUUGCUCAAUGGGGGAAACCCUGAAGCAGCAACGCCGCGUGGAGGAUGAAGGUUUUAGGAUUGAAAACUCCUUUUGUGAGAGAAGAUAAUGACGGUAUCUCACGAAUAAGCACCGGCUAACUCCGAGCCAGCAGCCGUGGUUAUACGGAGGGUGCAAGCGUUACUCGGAAUCACUGGGCGUAAAGAGGGCGUAGGCGGGCUUGUAAGUCAGAUGUGAAAUCCUGUAGCUUAACUACAGAACCGCAUGUGAAACUGUGAGUCUAGAGUGUGGGAGAGGUAGGUGGAAUGCUUGGUGUAGGGGUGAAAUGCGUAGAUAUCAAGAGGAAUACUCAUUGCGAAGGCGACCUACUGGAACAUUACUGACGCUGAUGCACGAAAGCGUGGGUAGCGAACAGGAUUAGAUACCCGAGUAGUC